AGAUUGGUCUUUGAAUUAUUUUCUGACAUCAUGCAACAAUCAUUUUUGAAUUAUGACUUCAAAUAUUUAAAUUUCGGAUGCAUUAUUUCAAGGAUAUUUUUGUAGUAUUAAGUUAUGGCAUACACAUUUGCAACCAAGUGUAAAUAUGUCUAUUGCACUCUUUAAUAGGAUGAUGCAGUACUAUUUACAAGUAAACAUCAGAAGGGUGGUGUCAGUUAUACUGUAAAUUCAGAAAUUAUUGCGAAAAAUGCAACAGAGUUACAAUUGAUAUACUUUAAACUCACAUUUAAAAAUGAAUUAAUUAGAAAUUUUCCAAAUAUCACAAAAAUUAAAAUUGCGUUUUAGUUUAAAAUGACAAAAUUGCCAUAAUUAAUGCAUGCAAUAAUUUCUGAAUUUAUAGUAGAUCAUUAUGUAUAAUGCAUUGUAAGGCAGCUUCAUUUUGAGAAAGUGCUAUGACUGUAAGAGUGAGUGCAGGUUAAUCAUUUGUACGCAUUGAACAUUGUGAGAGGGGUAUAUAUCAAAGAACAAUAGUUCAUUUGUAAGA
rnacentral:lncRNA from 1 species